UAGCACACUGUCCCUGGGAUGUCCCUGGGCAUCUCUUAGAGAUAAGGAGUUCUAUCGUUUUAAGGGUCAAGAAACUGGCCUAGUAACUUUUCCAGACCUACUCGCCAGGGGGGAGCAGAGUCAGGACGGACACCUGGGCCGGACGAACCUCCAGGCAGUAGAGAAAGGCAGUAAGGAGAGUGACCUGGAGCCCCGGGUCCCUCAUGGCCCCUCACGGAUGGUCUCCAGGGGACCCUUGUCGUCGGUCACGCAAGUUCUGAUCAUGUCAGUCACACACGUUCUGUCUGCAGAAGCGGGGGAUGCUGAGGGCGGCCGGGGAGCAGGUGUCCUUCCUGUAGGAGCACGGGGCGCUGCAGACCCGCGGGCUGAGGAGACCGCAAGCCGCAGCCCAGGCCCGGACUUUGUGCCUCCGGGAACCGGACGCUCCGGGGAGGCGGGAGCUGGAGAGCAGACCUCCACGUCUCUCCAAAGGCAGCUGCGCAGCAGGGAGCCAAGGAGAGGAAAGAGUCCAGAGGAAAAUGUCAGAACACAAGGGCCCGGUUCAGCAAACAAAAGGAAAAUGAAAGGAGAGGGCCAGAGCCAGCGAGCUCAGCUGCCGGGAGACUCGCACCUCAGACCCCGUCUCCGGCCACAGUCCGGGUUCCGGUGCUGACGGCGGGGGACGUGGACAGAGAGCGUUUCCACCGUCACGGAGGGUCUCACGGGAAAGCGCUCCGUCCCUCUGCCCCCACCCCUGCAGAGAAGAGGAGAGGAGAGAAAUGCAUCUUGCACUAAAAUGAACCCGGUUUCCCCCAAGAACGAACCCGGCCUGCACCUUGAUCUUGGACGUCCAGCUCCCAGAACUGUGAGAAAUUAGUGUCUGUGGUUUAAAACAAGAACUUAGCAAGGGUUGUGUUCAAUGUCAACAUCGUUUUUAAAAUUU